GUUUCAAGGUGAAGGUCCUUCCAAUGUGGAAACUAAAAUCUCAAUUCUGGGAAAUAUACUGAAUCAUCUUUUUGAACCGCAUUUUCUCCAAUUUUUUUAUUUUCUCUUUCUGGAGCUCUUGUUAUUUAUUGAAUUUCCCAUUGAUGUGGUUUGGCUGCGUACCCACCCAAAUCUCACCUGGAACUGUAGUUCUCAUAAUCCCCACGUGUUGGGAAGGACAUGGUGGGAAGUAAUUGAAUCAUGGGGGUGGUUCCUCCAUGCUGUUCUUGUGAUAAUGAGUGAGUUCUCACAAGAGCUGGUGGUUUUAUAAAGGGCUCUCCCCCCACUUCGUUCUGCACUAUUUUCUGCUGCCAGUGAAGAAGGAUGUGUUUGUGUCUUCUGCUCUGAUUGUAUGCUCCCUGAGUCCCUCCAGCUAUGCUGAACUUCUGGAUAUCUCCCAUUUCUUUAUCUGCCCUAAUUAAAUUGGUCAAAGUAUCCAGCACAGCAGUAGAUGGAAACAUGGAAGUGAAUAUUCUUGUCUUGUCCCUGAUCUUAAGAGGAAAGUGUUCCGUCUUUCGCCAUUAGGACCCCUUGGCAUGCUUACCUCUGGAGAACCACAGCAUGAGCAAGAUUAUGGAGAAAGGAAUCAGCGGUGUGAUGUGGGGAGCAAUGAGAAACCCUGUGCUGUGAAGGCUCGCGUGCCAAAUAGAGAAAGUUCCCUUGGAAGAAUGACUGCAGUGCUACAACAAUGUAACUGCAUGACAAAUCAUAAAGUUCCUGGUGUGGCUUCGCAUAAUUAA
rnacentral:lncRNA from 13 species